rnacentral:rRNA from 1 species
UACGUAGGGUGCGAGCGUUAUCCGGAAUUAUUGGGCGUAAAGAGCUCGUAGGCGGCUUGUCGCGUCGGAUGUGAAAGCCCGGGGCUUAACUCCGGGUCUGCAUUCGAUACGGGCAGGCUAGAGUGCGGUAGGGGAGAUCGGAAUUCCUGGUGUAGCGGUGAAAUGCGCAGAUAUCAGGAGGAACACCGGUGGCGAAGGCGGAUCUCUGGGCCGUAACUGACGCUGAGGAGCGAAAGCAUGGGUAGCGAACAGG